AUUGAACGCUGGCGGCAGGCCUAACACAUGCAAGUCGAACGAGUGGCGGACGGGUGAGUAAUGUCUGGGAAACUGCCUGAUGGAGGGGGAUAACUACUGGAAACGGUAGCUAAUACCGCAUACCAUCGGAUGUGCCCAGAUGGGAUUAGCUAGUAGGUGGGGUAAAGGCGAACCUAGGCGACGCUCCCUAGCUGGUCUGAGAGGAUGACCAGCCAACCUGGAACUGAGACACGGCCCAUACGCCUAAGGGAGGCAGCAGUGGGGAAUAUUGCACAAUGGGCGCAAGCCUGAUGCAGCCAUGCCGCGGGUAUGAAGAAGGCCUUCGGGUUGUAAAGUACUUUCAGCGUGGAGGCGUUACCCGCAGAAGAAGCACCGGCUAACUCCGUGCCAGCAGCCGCGGUAAGUC
rnacentral:rRNA from 1 species